ensembl:lncRNA
UUUUUUUUUUUUUUCAUUUUACAAGAGGGCUUUUACUUUUUGCCUUCCCCCCAUGUGUGUGUCUGUGUGUCUUCAUAAAGAGAAUGAGCUGGGCACGCAGAGAGAAUAAUUUCUAUUUCUUCAUAAAUCUCAAAAAUGAAUACUUAAAUUCAAGCAAAAAAUACAUUCUUACACCUUUAAUUUCCUCUCUAUGAAGUAUAAUGAAAAAGCCUGAUUAUUUUUAAUUCUUCCCUUUAAUAAUUCAGCAGUGGAGUGAUUUAAAGCUGGGGACGAUAAUUACCUUUUCACUUUCCUGGUAAAUGGAGUUUUAAUAGAAAUGGAAGCUCAAAUGCUGGAAUUAAUUCAAACAGGUCAGCAUCAGGUCAUCCAUAGCAUCUUCUGUAUAAAUCAUUUAUCUGAAAAAUGGCCUGCUUCUCAAUUUCCCAGGAAUCCCUACCCAGAGGCUACAUUUAAACAGAAGACUUGAUGUUUAUAUCUUGUAAAGCAUGAAGGGGGGAAAAAAAUGUGCAAUCCACAUCACCUUGGAAGGAGUUUUUUUUUGGUUUUUUUUUUUGUUAAUGCAAACGAAACUGCUGUUUGAAGGACAGGGAAGCAAGGCCUUGUCUAGAUUAGGGAAAUUCAGCUGUACUACAAUGAUGGUUGGCUGUGAAGCUUUCCCAGAUCCCAUUAUCUGAGCAGUUUGUGCUGCUCACUCGAUUUAUCUUCGUGCUACACCUGCUACAUCUGUUUUAGAGGUGAGGGAUGGAGGUGAGCAGUGUCAUCUCCAGCUGAGAGCAGACCCCUGAAAUAAGGAGUAGGCUCUAACUGCUGCCCUGUGAGCCAAGAAUGUCUGUCAGGGAGAGGGGAAAAUAAAGAAAAAUAUCUUUUCAGCCCCAUCCUUGGAGGUAAAACCAACCAAGGCAGGUUUAGCCAAAGCUGCUCCUGCCCUGGGGAGGGCGGUGACACCACAGGCCUGAUGUCCCAAGGAUUUUCCUGGCACAGGGAGAAGGAGAAAAGCUUCACUGAGAUCCCCACACAAGGUCCUGCUCUGAUGGAUUCAACCCCAAACUGCCCCUGUGGGGUCUGAAACUGCUGAAACACCCCCCCUGAGCAUUUUUGGGGCUGCUUCCAGCUGGGAUUGAUGUGCCUGGGCAGGGGGUGAGCCCUGCACCCUCCAGAAGUGGAAGCAGGCAAAGCAUCCUGGGGGGGGUUUAAAUUUUUCAUGAGAGCUAAACAUAAACUGCCUCUUCUCUAAUUAAGCACUGGGACAUGGAACUUUAAAGCACUCCAGCUCUGAUUCGCCACAAGUGUGUGGUAAUGAUUUCUUUUCAAAUGUCAAGCAGUUUUGUUUCUAUUUCCUUUCAUAAAUAAUUGGUGCUGAGCCGGUGGCAACACCAGCAUCCAGCUGGCAGCAGGAGCUCGUGAUGCACUCCUUGCAUCCAGCCAGGCAUGGGGCACUUCCAGCAGAUCCCAGGUGGGGAGAGAGCUUUUCCUGCUCCCAGUGCAGGGAAACCAUCACCAUUCCCUUGAGGUUUCUGAAUUUGUUGUAUCAGGUGUUUUGUUUUCGUUAACAUUAACCCAGAGCGUGCUCGUGGCAGGGAAAGGUGGCUGCAAGGGUGGAGGGUGGCAAAAGAAAUGUGAUUUUCUGCAGGAAUAAGGGGGGAAUUUAAUGCCUGAGGGCCAAGAGAAUCCUGGCUGGGAUUAAACUAAAAAUUUACACUAAAAAAAGUGCAUGGGCAGCUGUGGCCAGGGAUGCAGGUGAGCCCUCUCCUUCCUGCUCAGCACAGCACAGCCUGGAGCCAUCCCUGCGUGUUUUCUCUGCCCCACACCAAUAUUUCUCUAUCCAUUACUGUUUACAGCCUGGGGAACUCAAAGAUUGCAUUGCUGGGCUCCCCAGCAAUGUAAAAUACAAACACAGCUUCCAGCAGUGACCCAGCUGUCAUCCAUUCAGGGGGAUCAAACUCAUGGUUUUUUUUGGGGGUGCUGCUUAAAAUGCUGCAGGGGUGCUGUACGUCAUGAAAAUGUUUGUGGCAGGUCCAUAUUUGCUGUCAGGUGCCCUAAUGAGAAGUUAAAUGUUAUCCUUUUUGCUUUCCCUCCUUUCUGCUGUAUUGGCAGUGCUCUAGGUGGGUGCAGUCCAAAAAAAAAGGUGUUUUAGAAAUGUAUAAACUCCGGGAAUCAGAUCUCCUGGAGAAAAGUGAACUGCUAAGGGACAUCACU